GACGAACGCUGGCGGCGUGCUUAACACAUGCAAGUCGAACGGAAAGGCCCUGCUUGCAGGGUGCUCGAGUGGCGAACGGGUGAGUAACACGUGGGUGAUCUGCCCCUUACUUUGGGAUAAGCCUGGGAAACUGGGUCUAAUACUGGAUAGGACCAUGCUGUAGGUGGUGUGGUGGAAAGAUUAGUUUCGGUAAGGGAUGAGCUCGCGGCCUAUCAGCUUGUUGGUGGGGUAAUGGCCUACCAAGGCGUCGACGGGUAGCCGGCCUGAAAGGGUGGACGGCCACAUUGGGACUGAGAUACGGCCCAGACUCCUACGGGAGGCAGCAGUGGGGAAUAUUGCACAAUGGGCGCAAGCCUGAUGCAGCGACGCCGCGUGGGGGAUGACGGCCUUCGGGUUGUAAACUCCUUUCAGCCAUGACGAAGCCCUUGUGGUGACGGUAGUGGUAGAAGAAGCACCGGCUAACUACGUG
rnacentral:rRNA from 1 species